AUUUUUCCCUUUUUCCCCUUCUCUUCCUCCUCAGCCGCACGGACUAAUCUCUCUUUCUUUCUUCCUCAUCUCUCUGCUCUCACCGAAAUCGCCACUUCCGGCCAUUACCACACUACACUGCCAUCACCAUUUGAACUAUAACACAAACCCGACCAAGACCCAGUUGUUUCGCCACCGAUCAAGACGUUAUAGUCACCGCACUCGACCUCCAAACCUGCGAUGCCACUGUUCCACGACCUUCACCGGUUUCCAGUCAUCCCCUUUACCACACCACCAUCACCGCUGCACUCAGCGAGCAAUAGAGAAGAAAACCCAGAGGUUCGGUCACCCACCGAUGCCAGGAGAGGCCUCACGAACUACUAGCCUUCAAAACCCAGAAGCCUAAUGCCACUCAGAACCACCACACGCGCCGCCUCCAGCGCAUGGGUCACCGCUCAGGGUCGCCGGAUAUCUUGGUCGUAUGUGUUAGGUUAUGGUUUAUGCGUUCUGAAGUUUUUGGAGAAAGGAAUGGACCCAGUUUGAUGUAUAAUGAAGGAAGGAGUUCGAAUGAUUGUUGGUGGUGGAUGACUACACUUAUUUAGAAUUGGUCUUCUGUUUGGAGAUGAAGAAUCGGACUCGAGCGUGACUACUUGAGAUAGAACGAAAGCUCAAUAUCGAAAAUGAUUGAACGGAGAAAUUUCCGAGCUCUUGACUUGGGAUGGAUGAGUUGACGGUUAUUGCAUUUGAAUCACUUUUGCAGGCGAAAUUAGUUGAGGUCGGGCGUACAUGGAGUCGAGGCAUAGCCAACAGCAUUGCUUCCGCGUACUCAUUCUAUUUCUGUUUUCUUUGUUACCUAGUGGAUUAGUAUUGCUUUGAUAAUCUAUGAGAUUAAUAUUGUUUUUGGGUUGAGACUGAUAUUUGUGAAAUUGGAGUUGUGAUUUGGGGAGCAGAUGGCUCCAGAAGAUUAAGGAUGGAUGAUUUAGAAGUGUAAAUGUUUUCCUACAGGUUUUGGGUAGCCUACUUUUAGGGGAAGUUCCGCCAAAUUUUUGGUAGAAUCUCUUCUAAAGUGGGCCUCGCAGGGCUACUUCGGAUUUCAGGGUGAAAUCUGGGGCGGGUCCUGUCAGAGAAGGUCCCACGUCAGCAUUUUAACAGCGAAAAUUGAUGGAAUAGUGACGGAUUGGAUCGCUUAGAUGAAAUUGGAGAGUGCAAGGACUUUUCUGAUUAAAUUAGAAGUGUAAAGACUAAACUUAUGAACCCUUGAAAGUAUAAGGUAGUAAGCAGAAUUUAAUCCUUUUUUUUUUAAUCAGAUAAACAACUCAAAUGCUACAACUAGUCUUUCGUGAGUCAAACUCACAACCUCCUACUUACAAAGGGGAGACUAUGUCACUAGACCAAACGGUAUUGGGCAAAAAAAACAAAGGUUUUAGUAUUCAAUUCCAAAAAAUUCUUUCCAUUGAAGCUAGAAAAAGAAGGAACAAAAAUGUUUAAUUACAAAGGAACUAAAUAAGAAAAAAAAAGAGGUCAGGAGUUCGAGCCCCAUCAAGGGUGGUAAGGCUUUGGUCUCAUAUAUAAGAGGUCAGGAGUUCGAGCCCCAUCAAGGGUGGGAAUGGGGUGGGGUUUUUUUUAAAAAAAUAAGAAAAAAAAAGACAAAAAAAGAGGUCGUUGUGUUUUAGACCUUGGUGCUGCAAAUCAGCAGUAAAACUAUUUUACUGCUGCACUUGCACUAGCGCGGCCACUUCGUAGAAUUAGGACGAAACAUAAAUAUAUACAUUAUAUAACAUAUAUAUGUAAAAUUAAAAAAUAAUUUGGCGGCGGCCUGCUGGAGAGGCAGCAGCCCUCAAGGCCGGCCCUGCAUACAUCAACCCAACUGCCUAAGAAGAUUCACCCUUAGGCCAGGCCCACCCUCAUCACAAGUGAUAAAUGAUCGAGGGUGGCAAGGCACCUCCCUACUAGCCCACAACAUAGGGCCCAACAACUCAAACAUGAGCCUAGGCCGAAGACCCAAGCCCAAACCUGAGUAAAGUGAGCAGAAAUCCUAGUAUGCUUCUGCCAAUCCAUCACCGCCAUCGCCGUCGCCAAGUUGUACGGCGGCCGACCACUCUAGUACUGCAUCACUGUUAAGCUUCGGUUCCGCAACCUUCCUUUUGUAGCCGGUAACAAAACCCAACCGAAAUUAGGAACAGAGAACGAUCCAUCGCCAAGACCAGCCAAAAUCCGGUCAUGCCGACCCGCCCUGGUAGAUGAUCGAACUCGCAAAUCACCUCUUCUCUUGACAUCUUUGAACCGUUGUCACAACUCACAAGCUGACUAAUCGGUCCCUGCCGCUCUGCUGCCCGACGUCGAUCUGCAACAACCCCCAACAAUCUCCCACUUCAAUUACUGCCCGACAAGGUGACACCACUGCCAAAUCCGAUGGAAAGCCGUUAUCGGUCUCUCUGCUCAACGCUAGGGUUUGCGUUGCUUACUUUUGAAGCUCUCCCUUUCAUUCUCAUACUCCUCGUAUUUACUGCAUCCCCAUAUGAUGUUUGUCCCUCUUAUGAAGGCUAAUUUUGUUGGUGAAAAGAAAAAAGAGGGAGGAAUAAUUCCGAUUUGAAAGUGUUGACUUGGACUCCAAACUCAUGCAUUUUGAACCAACCUGACUCAUGCUCUCAGCAGUAUGCAUGGGAGCAGAGUUUGCAGCGUACAAAAACAUUUGGCAUGGAUUUUGCCUCGCGUCCGCAUCUUUGACUGCAAAUCUUCAUUUUGCUUUGAAUUUAAAAAUCCGUCUUUUUAUAUCCAAUCUAUAACUUGAACCCUAGCUCUUUAUAUCCCCUAUCAUUCUCUUUCUUUCAGAAUUCAUACGCAAUUGCAUCAACCACCUGAUUCGUCAUGCACAUUGUCUCAUGAGUCCCAGCUCCAUCUAAAACUCUCUAGAGAUACUCUCUUUAUCUUCAGCUUGAUUGGAAUCCAAUUUAGUUGUGUCUUGAAAAUCAUGCCUUCUUUGGAAAACCUUAAUUAUCAUAAAUCAUUAAGCUAGGAUAUCAAGUUAAUAGGAAUCGAUGUCGUGUAAGCAUGGGCUCUAUAACUUUCUUUUUCAAGCCUUCAACAUGGUGAGGCAGCUGGUCCUUUUAUGAUACACUUGAUACCUGCUCCUCUUCUCCUACGUACCCAGGGGACCUUCCAAGGGUGAUCUCUCUUUUCUUUUUUUUUCUUUUUUAUUUUUUAAAAGUGGAUCAAAGGAUUUCACUCCUACCCCCAUGGUGACUCGAACCCAUAAUCUCGAUCUUAGGUAGUGGGUGCUCUAACCACUGACCUUCCAAGGGUGAUCUCAAACGACUUCAUAUUCCAUUUCUAGUUUGAGUGCCAACUUCCUUUAUGCCAUUGAUGUAAAGCUCUCUUAGUAAUAUGGUAUUCUACUUUCGUAUACGAAUUUUCUACUAGACAAGUCAUAGCAGCUCGAUAACCUUUUCCCAUUAAUCUCCACUCUAUACUUUGAAUCUUGCAACAAAUUCUUCACAUUUCAAAAUUUGAUUGAUAUUGUAUUCAAGUCAUGGUAUACACCCACUCCAUAAAAGACGGCUAAUCCACCACGAGUCCAAAAAGAGUGAACUUCUCAUUUUUGUUCCCUCCUUCGCGGUUACUCAGUCCUUGCUUAAAA